rnacentral:lncRNA from 1 species
UGCAAUUCAAUAUAUACAUCCCUCAUGCAACACACAUUAUUACAAUAAUCAUACAACACACUACAUCAACAAAUCAUUUAAGCAAUUCAAAUCAACAACAUUUAAACAAUGAAUCCAACAACAUUCAAAAUACUUAAACACUCCUAAAGAUUUUUCACUAAAUUAAAAGCUAAAUUCAAAAAUAUCUAAAAAUUAUCUAAAAGUCAAGUCCAACAACACAACACUAAGGAGUAGCCCCAACAAACUCCUCAUCACUCUUUGUUUCCUCUUCGCUACUUGAAUCAGAAGCAGCGGCCUGUGUCAAGGCACGUCUAAGAUGUGCAAUCUGAUGUGACAUAGCAGCAUAUCUCUCAAAAUUAUAGAAAUGGCCUGAUCAUGCUUUGCCAACCAACAACACAUUGUCUGAAAAUCAAUUGACUAGUGUUAUAUGAUUUUAUAUAACUAGUAUAUAUAAAUAUAUAUAUAU